GUUUGAAUUUCAGAGAUGAAACUGGACAAGUUAUUGAGAAUUUGUCUGUGGUGGAGGGGUUUGUUGUGAGGUGGUCCAGACUUGCCAGCUUCUUUUCCUGCCUUGCUCCUGAUCUGCUCCUCCUCUUGUCUCCCCCUCUCUCUGUGUCUGUGUGAUCUGAGGUAAUUAGCCCCCCACAGAGAUGACGCUGGUUGUCAGGGGAUGAAUGGCUCUCAGGUGAAAAGCAGGACAUCGGGCAGGUGCAGGUGAUGCUGUGGCUUUCAGAAGCCCAUCUGAAUCAUUCAUGUCCUCUGUGGGCACAGCCCGUGUCAGCUGGUGUUUCUGCUGGCUUAACCAUGACGAGGUGACCCUGUGUGCCCCUGUCUACCUCCGUGCUAAGUCUGCUGCAUAAUCACUGUAUGGGCUGAUUGUCAUGGGGAUCAGCUAUUCACCUGUGAUGUUUUGUGUUCAAAGUGCAACAACAGUUAUACUCAGUUAAUUACUGACAGUUUUUAAUGGGACAGGGACUUAAAGAAUGUCAACACAGAAGCUUGAGGCUGUCACUGAGGUAUCACAGUGUCUUCACUAAGCACACAAGCACUGGCUGUCUUCAGGAGUCCCAAAGAGCAUGGACUCUGAAACUGAUGAAGCCAUUUAUCAUGGCUGCAAGUUUUCCAGACCUCUAAGGUUUUAUUUGGAAAAGACACAGAAACUACUAACAAGCUGUUAGUAAUUCAAGACUGUGUGGGGUUGCAGAAUUUCAUGUCAGGACACAUUCGACACAAGUUAAACAGCACCUGAUGCACAGCUCAGGAAUUUCCUUUGUUGCAGGAGCAAAAGAAAAGAUCAAAUGUAACCGCUCGCUGUGUCAACAACCAUGAACAGGAAGUUUAAGUAAACUGGUUAAAGAGCAGAUUAUCACACCGCGUGGGAAAACAACGCAGCAGCUUGAUUUGUCUCAUCUCUGACACAUCCUAUACUGGGGUCAAAGUCAAUGGAGCUCAUACAGGAGCUGCACCACCUGAAGGAUGAGUUAAAGGAACUCCAGCAACAGCAGAAGCUCAACAGGAUCGAGUUGGACUCCAUCCACGAGAAGCUUAAGGAAAUUGCAGAACACAGUGAUACUGCUGCUAUCAGAAAGGUGCGCUCAGACAGAUCUAACUGCCUCCCCUGUGACCGGCCUGCUGGCAAGCAAAUCCCCAGACCGCCCUCCACUGCACUGCCCUCACACAAGUCUGCCAGGCCAUGUACAGGUAAUGCUCUGGAGCAACACUACAAGAGCAGCAACCGUGUGUCUGAAGUGACAGAGGGACGUAUCUUGAUUGUAACAAAAAUGCCUUUGGAGAUUCGCCCAAACACCUCAGUCAGUCAGCGACGCAGCAGCCCGCAGCACGUGAAGCACCACCACCACCACCAGGUUGAGGAAAACAGUGUGAUUCAGUCGGAGGUCAAAGGUCACUUGGACACCCCAGCCAAUAGGAACACAGAUCCUCCUUUCUCUACCAAAUAUGGCAUGUGCAAGACUAAAAGCAAAACCAAGGCCUCCGCGUCCCGUAAAACGCCUCCCACUGGCUGUCUUAUGUGCCCCCACACACCCAGGAAACUGCCAGAGGAUUGGCCCAGCUGAGUCAGUCUCACAGGUGAACUGUGAACAGUGCCAGUGCUGUGGGUUCUGUUAACGUGACAAUUUACCUGACACCUGCCUGAACAAGUUCACGCUCCUGAACUAUUCAAAACAAAGCAGCCU
rnacentral:lncRNA from 1 species